rnacentral:rRNA from 1 species
AGCAGCCGCGGUAAUUCCAGCUCCAAUAGCGUAUAUUAAAGUUGUUGCAGUUAAAAAACUCGUAGUUGAAUUUCGGGAUUGACGUGAUGGUCAUGCCUUAAGGGGUAUGAACUGUUGCAGUUGAUUUCUCACCUUCUGGAAAAACUUGAUGUCCUUUAUUGGGUGUCUUGCGGAUCCAGGACCUUUACCUUGAAAAAAUUAGAGUGUUUAAAGCAGGCAUUUUUGCUCGAAUACAUUAGCAUGGAAUAAUAGAAUAGGACGGCAUGGUUCUAUUUUGUUGGUUUCUAGGAUCACCGUAAUGAUUAAUAGGGAUAGUUGGGGGCAUUAGUAUUCAAUUGUCAGAGGUGAAAUUCUUGGAUUUAUUGAAGACUAACUACUGCGAAAGCAUUUGCCAAGGAUGUUUUCAUUAAUCAAGAACGAAAGUUAGGGGAUCGAAGACGAUCAGAUACCGUCGUAGUCUUAACCAUAAACUAUGCCGACUAGGAAUCAGACGAUG